rnacentral:snRNA from 1 species
AAGAAGAAUCCUGAAGAUUUCUA